ensembl:lncRNA
GAUGGAGGGCGACUCGGGUCAGGCUGCGCCGGUCACCGCUCUGCCGCCCGCGAACCGGCACUAGUCUCCCGCGAAGCCGCCGCGUUCGGCUCUUGCAUCAGCGCCGAACGCCCCGCCCAGCUGUGCGCAGCCGCGGCUUGUGCCCAGCUUUCCCCGCGAGGGCUCUCGGGAGUUGUAGUUCGUUGGGACUGCGCACGCGCCCCGAGGGGGAGGAGGAGGAGCUUGGUGCUGGGGGCGGUGCUGGAGGUUCGUCAUAGCGCUUGGUCCGCGGGCGGGGUCUGGGGAACCAGCGUACCUUGAUGCUGCGGGUCGGCUGUGCUUGCGCCUCGCCCCUGCGGUGCCGAGGGUGGAUUCGGCGUGCACAGCGCCCUCGCAGCCCCGUUCCUCCCCCCUCGUCCGGCUCUAGCUCGCUCUCCGCCGCGCGGGCGCUCAGGAUCCCGGUCCCUCCUCUCCGCUGGUCCCGCGGCGGCACCGUUCAAACGAGGCUCUGCUGCCGGAGCCUGCCUCGCUCUCGUCUCUUCAACUCCGCAGCCUGCACCCCGGAUCCAGCGCUGGCUAAAAACUUUAACUCAGGCCCCUGUGUUUGCAAAACCUGGCUCUGCAUCCCUCUGUCUCCACUGGAACAGGACCAAAGAAAGUUUUAAAGUGUUUUAAUACUUGGUGUUACAGGAUUGUCCAGCCAAAUAUUUUUAAAUGGGGAUAGAGGAAGAAGGGAGAAUCUAAUGGUAGCUAUAAGUUGCCAGAAAGCUAUCUCUUUUCCUGAAGAACAGCAACUCAAAUGUGCAUACUGUGCAUAUGCCUAUUCCUCAGUAUUUAACGUUCCUGGAAAAAGCUGAGGUAAGCUUGCUGCUUAUGAAAGCUGUUACUACACAUCUCUGAUACUGUUAGUCUAUAAGGUGCAGAUCCAUCCUACCUUGUACUUAAUUUCAAAGUAACACAGCUAACUAUCUCUCCCUGGGAAAGUGCCAUGCUUCUGUCAGUUUUGCAGUUUUCUGAAUUGUGACAGGUGAGGAAAAGAAGGGAAUAUAUUGCAAUAUAGAAAGAUGACAGGGCUGAGCAAGAGUGCCAAAGAGCUGACUCAUUAAGUGAGAGACAUUAAUAAUCUCUCUUGGCCCAUAAUUAAAGAGGAAUUCCCCUCCAUCUUUAUAAAAAUGAGUUUGCUUCUCCUAUGUAGACAAUGAAUGUACUGUGCUUGAGCAUCUAAAAAUUCAUAAAUAAUUUGCACUGGCAAACAGACUCCUAAAAUGUGACAGAUGUGACUACUACCAGUACUGGAAGGUCUUAAGUGUACAUUUUGGGGGCAUUUUGUAGUUUUUACAUCAGUAAUGACUCAAAUAGUGACUGUUAUCUUGGGACUUUGAUGGAAAAAUAAUGGGAUUGGGUCACUGUUCUAAAUCUGUCCUGAGAAAGUAGCAGCCAAGAAUUAAUACCAGCCAAUCAGCAUCCUGUAGGAUUCAAAACCUGAUUUUGCAGCUUGGUCAAGCUUUCUUGGUCCUGGAUGCAUGUACAUGAGAUGUUUACUGCGGAGUUGCCGAACUAGCUCCACAGUUAAGCAUCACUGGUCUAUAUAUGUGGAACUAUUAAGCCAGAGUAAACUAAUUAACUCUGCCAUAGGUUAGUACUGCCACGUACAUGAAACACACGUAGAUGCUGACGGGGCUGGCUAGGGCACAGGAGUGCUUCAGUGUGGGGGCUACCUGCUGUCUAGCCCCCACACUGAAGUACCCUUGUGCCUAGUCAGUCUGUCCAUAGUAUGUUGAGCUGGGUCCAAGCAACCCUAGGCUGGCAGGCUGACCUCUCGGGUCAGUUUAAUGUGCCGCUGUCCCAGGCGUCUGUGUAAACCUGGCGCCUGGGUGCAACAAACUUCAUUGCGAACUGUUCCAAAGUUUGUGUUGCAUUAAUAUUCACAUGUAGACAUCCUCUCUGUUUCUGAUAUAUACCCAUAGAUAUUUUAGCUGGGCCCUUAAAUCACUUCCUAGUUGAACUUCUUAAAAAUAUUUGGUAUUUUGAUAUAUACAGGCUUUAAGUUCCUCCUUACAGAGAAACUCUUCAGGAAAUCAGAGCACUUCUCAGAUUCCAGCCAGGCCUUGAUGUCCUUGUAUACUUUGUCUCUGCCAAAUAAACAUGAAUCCAGAAUAAGGGCUCA